rnacentral:rRNA from 1 species
GCGAACGCUGGCGGCAGGCCUAAUACAUGCAAGUCGAGCGGUCCCUUCGGGGGCAGCGGCGGACGGGUGAGUAACGCGUGGGAACGUGCCCUUUGGUACGGAACAACUGAGGGAAACUUCAGCUAAUACCGUAUGUGCCCUUCGGGGGAAAGAUUUAUCGCCAUUGGAGCGGCCCGCGUUAGAUUAGCUAGUUGGUAGGGUAAUGGCCUACCAAGGCGACGAUCUAUAGCUGGUCUGAGAGGAUGAUCAGCCACACUGGGACUGAGACACGGCCCAGACUCCUACGGGAGGCAGCAGUAGGGAAUCUUGCGCAAUGGGCGAAAGCCUGACGCAGCCAUGCCGCGUGAAUGAUGAAGGUCUUAGGAUUGUAAAAUUCUUUCACCGGGGACGAUAAUGACGGUACCCGGAGAAGAAGCCCCGGCUAACUUCGUGCCAGCCGCCGCAGUAAGAC